rnacentral:rRNA from 1 species
CACGUAGGGCGCAAGCGUUGUCCGGAAUUAUUGGGCGUAAAGAGCGCGUAGGCGGUCCGAUAAGUCGGCUGUGAAAGUCCAGGGCUCAACCCUCGAAUGCCGGUGGAUACUGUCGGGCUAGAGUGCGGAAGAGGCGAGUGGAAUUCCUGGUGUAGCGGUGAAAUGCGCAGAUAUCAGGAGGAACACCAAUUGCGAAGGCAGCUCGCUGGGACGUAACUGACGCUGAGACGCGAAAGCGUGGGGAGCAAACAGG